rnacentral:tRNA from 1 species
GGAGUUGUGGCUCAGUGAUAAAGCACUUGCCUGGCAUGUGUGAGGCCCUGGGUUCGAUCCUCAGUACCACCU